AAUGACUAUCAGCAACACUGCUACUGCGGCUACCAGAGACAGAAGAGUAACUGGUGUCAGCUCCCACCAUUUGCAGGAAGCAGCUUUGGUACAAUGCUGGGCAUGACUCAGGAGGGUGCCAUUGUCAGCAAUCAUUGACCUAGGGCUCAAUUAUAGCUUUCGAACCAAGUGCACAAGGAGGUGAAGGAACAGAACAUAUCCAU